rnacentral:tRNA from 1 species
ACCUGGCUGGCUCAGUCAGUAGAGUAUGUGACUUUUGAUCUCAGGGUUGUGAGUUCAAGCCCCACACUGGGUG